UACGAAGGGGGCUAGCGUUGCUCGGAAUACUGGGCGUAAAGCGUGCGCAGGCGGUGAUGUAAGACAGGUGUGAAAUCCCCGGGCUUAACCUGGGAACUGCAUUUGUGACUGCAUCGCUGGAGUGCGGCAGAGGGGGGAUGGAAUUCCGCGUGUAGCAGUGAAAUGCGUAGAUAUGCGGAGGAACACCGAUGGCGAAGGCAAUCCCCUGGGCCUGCACUGACGCUCAUGCACGAAAGCGUGGGGAGCAAACAGG
rnacentral:rRNA from 1 species